UACGGAGGAUGCAAGCGUUAUCCGGAUUCAUUGGGUUUAAAGGGUGCGUAGGCGGACUAUUAAGUCAGUGGUGAAAGCCUGCAGCUUAACUGCAGAACUGCCAUUGAUACUGAUAGUCUUGAAUAGGGUAGAGGUAGGCGGAAUGUGUUGUGUAGCGGUGAAAUGCUUAGAUAUAACACAGAACACCGAUUGCGAAGGCAGCUCACAAAGCCAAGAUUGACGCUGAGGCACGAAAGUGUGGGGAGUCAAACA
rnacentral:rRNA from 1 species